UACGUAGGGGGCAAGCGUUGUCCGGAUUUAUUGGGCGUAAAGCGCACGUAGGCGGCUUUGCAAGUCGGAUGUGAAAUCCCUCGGCUUAACCAAGGAAGUGCAUCCGAAACUGCAGAGCUUGAGUACUUAAGAGGAUCGCGGAAUUCCCGGUGUAGAGGUGAAAUUCGUAGAUAUGGGGAGGAACACCGGUGGCGAAGGCGGCCAUCUGGACGGUAACUGACGCUGAGACGCGAAAGCGUGGGGAGCAAACAGG
rnacentral:rRNA from 1 species